GUGGCAGGCGUCCGAUGGUGAAUAUCGAGUCGACACAAAUGUUUCCCUCGUCCCCUCUGUUCCCUUGGUGGCCCUCUCCCUUGCACCGUCGACACGAUUAUCGGUGAGCUUUGUCGAUGUCGGAAGCGAAGCUGGGAAGCAGGCGUCGAUAGUCGAGCUGGUCUGGGGAAGGGCUGCUCGCAUUGGACGGUUUCCCUCUGCGAAUCAACAAGGAGCCAGGAGCAUCGGAUGCCAUGAGUGCCACCAAGCACCGGCGACCUACAACAUGUGCCCUUCGUCCCAAGAUCGCCAACGACAAAUGUAUUCAACUCGUCCAUUGCAAGAUCCAAGCUCGAAAUAGAGAGAAGCAAACGAAUCGCAUCGUUGGUGUCGUCCUCGUCUUUGAUUCGACCGAGAGCCCCAGAUUGAAGUCUUGUCAGUUUCUUCAAUUCCAAUCCAUGAAGUGGCUUAGGCUAAUGCUAAUACAUUGGGAAAUACAAAAAUCUAUUGCAGACACAUUAAUCUUCGUUUCCUUAUGUUACAUGUAAUAGGCAGGUGCUUGGUGUCCCAUGGAGAGAAUAGAGUUGAUGUGUUUCAUUUAGAUUACUUCAUGUGUCGGGCUUUAAUAUUAUAUGUCUCAAAGAAGGAAGGAGUAAUAGGAGGAAAAUCGAAAUAACAUGUAAACCUAGGAAAAAUGAGCCUUGGUGGGUUAUUCAGUGAUUCUUGUUGUAGUAUAAUGUUUUUUCGAAUAAGGUGGCUUGCCAUUAUUCCAAGAUGGGUUAUGUAUUGUGAGCUAAGGUUAAAACCAUAACCAUGCUUUUCUUGUGUCAACUAUCUUUUCAUUUUCAUCUGUACCCUAUAAUUUAGGUACUUGAAGUUGUGGAUCA